rnacentral:pre_miRNA from 1 species
GGGAGUGUAGGAUCCUGGGCUGUGUCUGCUUGGCGCCCUGGGAUCCAGGGCCUGUGCUGCUGGAAUCGUGCUCCCGGGGCCGCGGCUCCU